rnacentral:rRNA from 1 species
CUACCCGGGUAUCUAAUCCUGUUCGCUCCCCACGCUUUCGAGCCUCAGCGUCAGUUACAGACCAGAGAGCCGCUUUCGCCACCGGUGUUCCUCCAUAUAUCUACGCAUUUCACCGCUACACAUGGAAUUCCACUCUCCCCUUCUGCACUCAAGUUUGACAGUUUCCAAAGCGAACUAUGGUUGAGCCACAGCCUUUAACUUCAGACUUAUCAAACCGCCUGCGCUCGCUUUACGCCCAAUAAAUCCGGACAACGCUCGGGACCUACGUAUUACCGCGGCUGCUGGCAC